rnacentral:tRNA from 1 species
UCCCAGGUGGCUCAGUGGUAAAGAACCUGCCUGCCAAGCAGGAGAUGUGGGUUCAAUCCCUGGGUC